CCUACGCGAGGCAGCAGUGAGGAAUAUUGGUCAAUGGGCGCGAGCCUGAACCAGCCAAGUAGCGUGAAGGAUGACUGCCCUACGGGUUGUAAACUUCUUUUAUAAAGGAAUAAAGUGAGGCACGUGUGCCUUUUUGUAUGUACUUUAUGAAUAGGGAUCGGCUAACUCCGUGCCUGCAGCCACGGUAAUACGGAGGAUCCGAGCGUUAUCCGGAUUUAUUGGGUUUAAAGGGAGCGUAGAUGGGUUGUUAAGACAGUUUCAAAAGUUUGCGGCUCAACCGGAAAAUUGCAAUUGAUACUGGCAGUCUUGAGUACAGUUGAGGUAGGCGGAAUACGUAGUGUAGCGGUGAAAUGCUUAGAU
rnacentral:rRNA from 1 species